rnacentral:rRNA from 1 species
AGCUCCAAGAAUACGCCGAGGAGGUGGCCCGGGUCGGUGUCGGCGCCGUCCGGCGCGGGCCACGGGCCCGCUUCCAAGUGCGUCUGCGCGCCGGCCACCCACGCCAGGUCCUUCAAGUGCCGCUUCCACCGCACCAACUCCCAGGGCCAUGGCCACGGCCACGGCCAGGGAAGCCGCCCUUCUUCGCCCCCUUCACCGGCCGCGGCACCCGGCCUCCCCGUCCUCGUCCUCCGGCACCGUCGCGACCCACUGACGUAG